UGCAGUCGAGGGGUAACAGGGAGUGCUUGCACUCUGCUGACGACCGGCGCACGGGUGCGUAACGCGUAUGCAAUCUACCUCUUACUGAGGGAUAGCCCAUGGAAACGUGGAUUAAUACCUCAUAGUAUUAUAAACUGGCCUCAGUUUAUGAUUAAAGGUUACGGUAAGAGAUGAGCAUGCGUCCUAUUAGCUAGAUGGUAAGGUAACGGCUUACCAUGGCUACGAUAGGUAGGGGUCCUGAGAGGGAGAUCCCCCACACUGGUACUGAGACACGGACCAGACUCCUACGGGAGGCAGCAGUGAGGAAUAUUGGACAAUGGGCGAGAGCCUGAUCCAGCCAUGCCGCGUGCAGGAAGACGGCCCUAUGGGUUGUAAACUGCUUUUACAGAGGAAGAACCCUCCUUACGUGUAAGGAGC
rnacentral:rRNA from 1 species